rnacentral:rRNA from 1 species
UACAUAGGGAGCAAGCGUUAUCCGGAUUUAUUGGGUGUAAAGGGUGCGUAGACGGGAAAUUAAGUUAGUUGUGAAAUCCCUCGGCUUAACUGAGGAACUGCAACUAAAACUGAUUUUCUUGAGUACUGGAGAGGAGAAUGGAAUUCCUAGUGUAGCGGUGAAAUGCGUAGAGAUUAGGAAGAACACCAGUGGCGAAGGCGAUUCUCUGGACUGUAACUGACGCUGAGGCUCGAAAGCGUGGAGAGCAAACAGG